rnacentral:lncRNA from 1 species
GUUGUGAAAAUUUUAAUGUACUCGCAAGCGCACGAAUCUAGAGAUAGAAUAGUGGUAACGAGGUCGAUCCCACAUGGAUUGUUAUAAAUUGAAAAGUCUAAUUUAAAUCUAAAAUUAAUAUUAAUUCUAACCUAGUUGAGAAAAUUGAGAUUUUAAGGGUAAUUAAACUAAUAAAGGAGAAUUCAAUAAGAUAAGAAUUACUAAGGUUUCAUAAUCCACUACUAUUCAACUAGUAAUUAUCUAAUUAUUAAUUAAUCCCCAAUUUUAGAGUGACA